GACGAACGCUGGCGGCGUGCCUAACACAUGCAAGUCGAGCGAACGGACGAGAAGCUUGCUUCGCUGAUGUUAGCGGCGGACGGGGGUGAAACACGUGGAUAACCCACCCAAAAGACUGGGAUAACCUCGGGAAACCGGAGCUAACACCGGAUAAUAUUUUGAACCGCAGGGUGCAAAAGAGAAAGACGGUGUUGCGGGCACUUAUAGAUGGAUCCCGGCCGCAUUAGCUGGUUGGUAAGGUAAAGGCUUACCAAGGCAACGAUGCAUAGCCGACCGGAGAGGGUGAUCGGCCACACGGGAACUGGGCCGCGCUCCAGACUCCUACGGGAGGAAGCAGUAGGGAAUCUUCCGCAGUGGGCGAAAGCCUGACGGAGCACCGCCGCGUGAGUGAUGACGGUCUUCGGAUCGUAAAACUCUGUUAUUGGGGAUAAACAUAUGUGUAAGUAACUGUGCACAUCUUGACGGUACCUAAUCAGAAAGCCACGGCUAACUACGUG
rnacentral:rRNA from 1 species